AACUUAGAGCAGUGGUAAUAUCGUAAUCGAUGAGGUGUUGUCGAGGUGCAAUUAUUGUUUGUUGAAAACUUUGACGCCUAU